CACAGCCGCGGGAAUACGUAGGGUGCGAGCGCUAAUCGGAAUUACUGGGCGUAAAGCGUGCGCAGGCGGUUGUGUAAGACAGGUAUGAAAUCCCCGGGCUUAACCUGGGAACUGCGCUUGUGACUGCACAGCUAGGGUAUGGCAGAGGGGGGUGGAAUUCCACGUGUAGCAGUGAAAUGCGUAGAGAUGUGGAGGAACACCGAUGGCGAAGGCAGCCCCCUGGGCCAAUACUGACGCUCAUGCACGAAAGCGUGGGGAGCAAACAGGAUUAGAUACCCGCGUAGUCCCUGUCUCUUAUACA
rnacentral:rRNA from 1 species